CGUAGGUGGCGAACGUUAUCCGGAAUUAUUGGGCGUAAAGGGUGCGUAGGCGGCAUGAUAAGUUAUUGGCGGUAAAUCGAGGCUCAACCUCGUGGAAACUGAUAAUACUGUUUUGCUUGAGUACAGGAGAGGUUAACGGAACUCCAUGUGGAGCGGUAAAAUGUGUAGAUAUAUGGAAGAACAUCAAUAACGGCGAAGGCAGUUAACUAUUCUGUCACUGACGUUGAGGCACGAAAGCGUGGGGAGCAAAACGG
rnacentral:rRNA from 1 species